rnacentral:rRNA from 1 species
CCUACGGGGGGCAGCAGUGAGGAAUAUUGGUCAAUGGACGAGAGUCUGAACCAGCCAAGUAGCGUGAAGGAUGACUGCCCUAUGGGUUGUAAACUUCUUUUAUAUGGGAAUAAAACGUUCCACGUGUGGGAUUUUGUAUGUACCAUAUGAAUAAGGAUCGGCUAACUCCGUGCCAGCAGCCGCGGUAAUACGGAGGAUCCGAGCGUUAUCCGGAUUUAUUGGGUUUAAAGGGAGCGUAGGUGGAUUGUUAAGUCAGUUGUGAAAGUUUGCGGCUCAACCGUAAAAUUGCAGUUGAAACUGACAGUCUUGAGUACAGUAGAGGUGGGCGGAAUUCGUGGUGUAGCGGUGAAAUGCUUAGAUAUCACGAAGAACUCCGAUUGCGAAGGCAGUUCACUGGACUGCAACUGACACUGAGGCUCGAAAGUGUGGGUAUCAAACAGGAUUAGAUACCCUAGUAGUC